CUCCAGACUCCUACGGGAGGCAGCAGUGGGGAAUAUUGGGCAAUGGGCGCAAGCCUGACCCAGCAACGCCGCGUGAAGGAAGAAGGCUUUCGGGUUGUAAACUUCUUUUAAGAGGGAAGAGCAGAAGACGGUACCUCUUGAAUAAGCCACGGCUAACUACGUGCCAGCAGCCGCGGUAAUACGGAAGGUCCGGGCGUUAUCCGGAUUUAUUGGGUUUAAAGGGUGCGCAGGCGGAAGAUCAAGUCAGCGGUAAAAUUGGGGGGCUCAACCUCUUCGAGCCGUUGAAACUGGUUUUCUUGAGUGAGCGAGAAGUAUGCGGAAUGCGUGGUGUAGCGGUGAAAUGCAUAGAUAUCACGCAGAACUCCGAUUGCGAAGGCAGCAUACCGGCGCUCAACUGACGCUCAUGCACGAAAGUGUGGGUAUCGAACAGGAUUAGAUACCCCAGUAC
rnacentral:rRNA from 1 species